AGCAGUCGCCGCGGUAAAACGUAGGUGGCAUGCGUUGUCCGGAAUUAUUGGGCGUAAAGGGCUCGCAGGCGGUUUCUUAAGUCUGAUGUGAAAGCCCCCGGCUCAACCGGGGAGGGUCACUGGAAACUGGGAAACGUGAGUGCAGAAGAGGAGAGUGGAAUUCCACGUGUAGCGGUGAAAUGCGUAGAGAUGUGGAGGUACACCAGUGGCGAAGGCGACUCUCUGGUCUGUAACUGACGCUGAGGAGCGAAAGCGUGGGGAGCGAAUAGGAUUAGAUACCCCUGUAGUCCCUGUCUCUUAUAC
rnacentral:rRNA from 1 species